rnacentral:rRNA from 1 species
UGGGGGAUAUUGCACAAUGGGCGAAAGCCUGAUGCAGCGACGCCGCGUGGGGGAUGAAGGCCUUCGGGUUGUAAACUUCUUUUGCUCUGAACAAGGCAUGCCUUUGGGGUGUGUUGAGUGUAGGGGUUGAUUAGCGCCGGCUAACUACGUGCCAGCAGCCGCGGUAAUACGUAGGGCGCGAGCGUUGUCAGGAAUUAUUGGGCGUAAAGGGCUUGUAGGUGGCUGGUUGGGUCUGUCGUGAAAGCUCAUGGCUUAACUGUGGGUUUGCGGUGGGUACGGGCUGGCUUGAGUGCAGUAGGGGAGGCUGGAAUUCCUGGUGUAUCGGUGGAAUGCGCAGAUAUCAGGAGGAAUACCGGUGGCGAAGGCGGGUCUCUGGGCUGUUACUGACGCUGAGGAGCGAAAGCGUGAGGAGCGAACAGG